ensembl:snoRNA SNORA74 Small nucleolar RNA SNORA74
CCCAGCUGUAGGCAACUGCCUGGGUUGCGUUGUACCUAGGCUAGUGUUACACUGCUGGGAGAAAAGCAGCUAGUAGCUGGCGAGCAUCCUAGGCCUGGUUAAUGCCAAAUUUGUGUUAACUGUACUAGUGUGCCAGCACAGC